GGUGGGUAUAGCACAGUUGGUUAGCGCGUCAGAUUGUGGCUCUGAAGGUCGUGGGUUCGAGUCCCACCACCCACCC
rnacentral:tRNA from 1 species